rnacentral:miRNA from 1 species
AAUUUUUUAAGGUUGUUUGUGGAA